GAGUUGGAGGGCCUUGAUCCCACAUACAUUAGUUAACAGCUAACACGCCUACCGUAGGCAUCAACCCCAAG
rnacentral:tRNA from 1 species